rnacentral:miRNA from 1 species
UGAGGUAGUUGCUAAAUGUUGUGG